UGGGGGCGGGGGCGGGAAGGCCCGGAGGAAGGGGCUGCACGCCUGUGCCCGGGUGGCGUCUGGGGACCAGCCUGCAGCGGGCACCGUGCGCCUCGUCUCUGUGAUCUCGGAGGAGCCCGGACGUGCUGUCCCCUUCGUGCGGGGACUCUCUGCUCCUCCUGUGGCUGCGCCUCUUUGCUUGCGGAGCCAAGCUGCUGGCGGGGUGUAUGUGCAUUGAGCCAGAGCUGCAGAAUGGGGUCCCCCCGGCCACCCUCUGCCCCUCACCGUGGGGGGCUCCGUGUCCCGGUGCAGAGCGGUGUCCGGCCUUGGAGCCGCUGGGCCUGCGCUCACCUUGGCGGCUCCGGGCCAGUACCACAGACCGGCCCUUAGUCCCGCGUGGUAGGUAGCGCCCUGGCUGCCUGUUCCAGCAGCGGAGGUGAGAGAUUUAAGGGAAUAUUUUAAUCUGAAAUCUUAGCAGCACGGGCACGAGAGUGGCGUGGUGGCCGGGGCUGCAGCCGACGUAUUUAUGGUCCGGGGCUGACCAUCCAACGCCUGAGUUCUGGUCGUCCCUUCCGACGGAGAGCUCAUCACUCUCCCUGUUUAUGAUUUCAAUUCCUGUCCUUCCAUGGGGUUGCGGUGAAUUAGCUCAGUGCCAUUUUCUAAAAUAUCAAGCAUUUUUAUACAUUAGGUAUAGUGAAUGGCAAAUACUUGAUGUAAAGUCUGCAGUUUUACUCCAUAACCAGAUUGUAAAAUAUGAACUGAAUUAAUCAUAACUGCGAAGACUAAUGGUACGUUUUCUCUUAUUUUAUCUUUAGUGCCUUUCAGAUCAUGUUUUAAAACCUUCCACGCCUGGCGUUGGGAACGCAGCCGCGGCUUGGUGGUGGAUAGCAAGAGGCAAAGGCAUAGCUCUGUACGCCUGGUAGAGAGCGCAGAGGAUGAGCCCGGAAAGAUGCAGCUCAGAGGAUGAGCCCGGAAAGAUGCGUUCGAUUGUAGGGCCUCACAGUUCCUGUGACACCGCCGAGCACGUGGUGGCAGGGCUAGGACGUGAAGCUGGGGAGACGGUACUGCAACGCAGUGCAGGCGGGGCUGGGGCGUCAGCCUCGAACCUCCGCCUUCUAGGGAGUGUUGUCAUCACCUGUGCCGACCGGAUCGGCCUCCUGGGUCUAGGGAGCUGGGGCGGAAGGGCCCGCUGCCCUCGCCCGGGAGCCUGGCCUUGUGGGUGCCUGGACUUCGCGGCCCUGCGUCCCCCUGCCGUCCCCACACUGCAAAGACCACAAGCUCCUGAGGGGAGGAACGGAACCAGCCAUUCGAAUUUUCUCAGGUUCCUCCUCCCCCGCUGCCGCCGGGGCCUAUGAAAUGCAUCUCGAGACUCCUGCAGAGAUACGGACCACACACCCGUCUCCACAUUGCCUGGACAGGAGCGUUGGCUUCAGAUCCCUUGCACUUUCUACUCCCAGAGAUGAGACCUUAAGUGUCCAGCUCCACGGACCCCAUGCUUGGCCUCUGCUCUGACCGUGCUAUGUUGCGCCAGGAAGGACAGGGCACUGGGGCAUCCGCGGGUUCUUUGUUCCCAGCUUGGCUGG
rnacentral:lncRNA from 1 species